rnacentral:lncRNA from 1 species
CAGAGGGGCUUCAAAUGGCCCUGGAGCCCACCAGGCCCACAAAGGCCCCUCAGGACUCCGUGAAGGGGGCUGAGCCCCGGCCCCAGCAAGACUGGGGAGACACUGUCUGUGCCCAGGAGCUCCGGGGAGGCUCCAAGGAAGAGGCGUUUCAUGCCCCAGGCGGCUGCAGGAUGACUGAUGUGCCUGAGAAACAGCAGGGACGGCACCGCACCAUAGCUGGGGAGAGCGGUGCCCGGGCAAGGCCCCUGUGCAGAAGGGAAGGUCCAGGCUGCUCUUCACGUGUCUGUGUGAUGAGGCAGAAGAGGCAGGGCACAGGCCCUGGGGGCUACAGGACUCAGGAGCCCGGGGCAUGGGGCUAGGCCUGACAUCCCGCCCAUGCCCUCCCUGGUGGGCCACACACCUGUCCUCAUCUGCCUUGGGCUGUGCUGGGCCCUGACCAGAGGCUCCCCUGGGCCUGUCUGCCCCCGAGCACUCGGCUUACUCAGCGCUCUAGUCCUAGAACCCUCACCAGCAAAACCUCAGAGUGUGAGGCUCCUGUUGGACCCUGGAGAUUCCACAGUGGCUUUAUUUAGGCCACUCCGGGUGUGGCAGCGCCCAAAGACAAGGGGAGGAGAUGUCCCAGGGACCACACAGCAAUGGCACGUGUGACCAGGCACCGAUGGGGACAGCAGGGCAGCUUGCCGGCCUGGCUCUCAGAGGACUCACACGGGAUGAGGUGGGGGAUUGGGGGACAGGCAGUGGCUGAGGACUCGGGCUUCAUCCUUCGGGCAGCAGGUGAGUUGAGCUGAUGCACGAAGAUGUGCAAUUCACACUUUAGAAAGAUGCCCCAGGUCCUGGGAGCAGUGCCCAACCUGCACAACCACACGCGACCAGGUCCAGCAUGGAGGAUGGCAGGGGCCUGGCCCUGGGGUAGAGAGGAGGUUGCCCACCUUCAGGAGCCUCCUCUCGCAUGGCCAGCCCCUCCUCCACCGAGCCCACCUCGAGCAUCCUGCCCUGGCAGCGUCCCCCGCAGGGAGGGGCCACCCUUGUUUAUGGCCAAGUCACCACGGCUCCUUUACCAUCUGCUGCAAAGGAAGGAAGGCCCCCGUUACCCACCCCACCUGUGGCGGCCGGCGCUGGGAACGGAAAGCCGAGGGCACCAGGGCCCCUGAGCAGACAGCGCUGGCCCAUUUGGCAUUUGUCCCUCAACAAGGAGACCUCACAGCUCCUGUUUUCCCAGGAAGUGGGGCCAGUGCCCAGAGGACAAAGAGACAGAAAGAGACAGAGACAGUGAGACAGAGAGACAGUGGGAGACUGACUGAAGGAGAGAGAUCCAGGCAAGAGAGAGUCACAAAAGCAUCCAGAGAAGACAGGGAGGAGAGACACAGACCCGGCCAAGAGCGAGAGCGAUGCAGAAGGGCUUCCGCAGGAGGACCAGGGAGGCCAGUCCGGGCCCCACCCACCGCCUUGGGCACAGGGACAGGGAAGGCACAGCUGGAUCAAAGAUCUUUGAAACUGGAAUCAAACGCUCAGGUUUUAUUGGCGCACUCACUGUGUAACUGUGUAAUGGGGGCAGGGACAGUGAGGCUGUGCCCCGGGAGCCUCUUCAAAGGCUGAGGGAUUCCUGAGCUCUUUUCUCCCUCCUUCCCCUCCUCCCCUCCUUCCUUCCUCCCCUCCCUCCUUCCUCCCAUCCCUCCUUCCUCCCCUCCGUCCUUCCUCCUCUCCCUCCUUCCUCCCUCCCCUCCUUCCUCCCCUCCAUCCCUUCCUCAUUCCUCCAUUUCCUUCCCUUCCCUCUUCCUCCUUCCUCCUUUCCUUCCUCCUUCCAUUCCUUCCCUCCAUUCCUCCCUCCACUCAUUUCCAUCCAUUCCCUCCACAUUUCCCAUCAUCAUCAUCAUCAUUCCUUCUCCUCAUUAUCCUCCUCUACCCCUCCUCCUCAUUUCAUCA